rnacentral:misc_RNA from 1 species
GAUGAAGAACGCAGCGAAAUGCGAUAAGUAAUGUGAAUUGCAGAAUUCAGUGAAUCAUCGAAUCUUUGAACUCACAUUGCGCCCCUCGGUAUUCCGAGGGGCAUGCCUGUUCGAGCGUCAUUAUAACCCUUCAAGCUCAGCUUGGUGUUGGGGCCUGCUGUAACUGGUAGCCCUUAAAAUCAGUGGCAGUGCUAUUAGGCUCUAAGCGUAGUAAUUCUUCUCGCUAUAGUGUGUAGUGAGCGCUUGCCAGAACCCCAAACUUUUAUAUGAUUGACCUCGGAUCAGGUAGGGAUACCCGCUGAACUUAAGCAUAUCAAUAAGCGGAGGA